UUGUUUUCCACUAGCUUCCGUUUUGUUUCUGAGCUGUCCGUCUUUUCCGUUCACUUGGAAGUUGGAAUGUCUCCACUCUCCAUCUUCACUCUCUUCGCCUCUCUCCCUCUUCUAUUUCUUUGUUUGCGAUGUUGAGGCCAGAGAUUCCUCUCCCCAUUAAAUCGCAAGGCCCUCUCUUUAACCCCAAAGUUGUGGCUGUCGUUUUUCCCGCAGCGGCAUCGGCAUCGGCAUCGGCAUCGGCGACGAGGUGAAGACCCUGAGGGCUCCGGCGGCGUGCGAGGUAGGGGAGAUAGGUGGAUGGCGAACUGAAGAAUUUGUUCCGUCCAUUAAUAACUGAGGAAUCGACUGCGAGAUUCGCACAACAGCCUUGGUUUAGGGAAAUAUCCCGUGAAUGUCGCUCUGGCUGCGCUCCUGUAGGGUUGAGAUUCCUUGCUUCAUUGUCCUGUAUUGUGUCUUAAUCGCAGCCCUUUUUAGCUUCACAUUAUUUUCUUCUUGGCAGAUUUGCGGCUUCACUAAUCUGUCGUAAGGGUUUCUUCUCGAAUUUACUGUCCUCAGAUUCUUUGUUUUUUUUUUCUCUGUUCUGAAUCUGUCAACUACCCCUCUAGACUAUGAUUUGUUUGCUUUAUCUAUUUAUUUUACAAAUUGGGUGACAUAAAGCUUGAAAGACAAGCUAGAGGAGUUUUCCAAAUGUGAGUAUGAGCUGUUAGCUGAAUUGACCAGUUUAAUCAGGUUGGUUGCCUCACUCUAAUCCAAUGUUUGCCUUCUGUGACUAGCAUUUUUUACCAUCUCUUUGAUACUCUUUUGUAUGAUUAUGGAUUUUCUGGAAGAGAGAAGCAUUGGAUGGCAUAGAGAUGAUAACACACCCUACCUCAAGCAACAUCACUUUUCAUGAGGGUUAUUCAACCUUUUUUUACGUAUUGAUAUCCUGUUAUAAUUUGCACUCUUGCUGAUAGACAACUUUGGCCUUCAUUUGGUAAAACCAUUAAAGGCUCAUGUAGUCAAGGUGUUAUUCUCACAGAAGAAAGAAACUUUAUCCUCCGAAACUGAAGCGGUGAAUCCAGAUGUGAUACGAACCAAAUCAAAGCCAUAUCCUCUUCAUUUCCAUUUGUCUUUUCGUGAGAGAGAAGGGCUUGAAGGUGGAAGAUGAUGAACAACGAAAUUAAAAUUUGCAUUGUCAUCUAAUUUUUUUCCUGAUUAAGUGAAUUUUUGACAUAUUAGAGGAGGUAGGUUUAGUUCAGUAUGAUCUGUGAUAAUUCACUAUUUUUGUCUCUCUUUUCUAUAUUUCUCUUCUUUAUUUUGUUUUUGUUAUCCUGACUUUCUAUCUCUGCCAUGUCAUUUCUUUCUAGAACAAGGCCAAAACUUUCAAUCCCAUUUCUGAGAGAUAGCUGACCAGUUUUCUUGAAUAUGCAGGCAAAGAUGGCGCGGAAGGUGAAUGCUCGAGAUGAUUUUCAGCCAUGAUUUUGAGGGUGCGAGCCAUAGAGACUAAACCUGAAUCAUAGAGAGCAUCACGGUGUCGAAUAUGUGUGUAGCGUCGUUAUUGUCUCAUGAAGAUGUGUUCUUUCUGUCAUCGCUUCCAAUAACUUAUGAGGAUGCUGUUUUUGCCUUGGAGAAUCAAAGAAAAAGCGACCUCACAUUUUUUAACAGAAGACUUGAAAGAUUUUUGUGAUGGAUGAGUCUUAGGAUUGUUCCUCUUUGUGCCAUAGCAUGUAUUAUCUUCGAGAAAUAUGUUGAGCUACCAGACAUGUGGGUUGCUACCUACAGAUAACUGAAAUAAUUAGGUUGAUGGAUCCACUACACAAUUCCUUCAAUGUUCGACUCAGAAAGUUUAACAACACUGUGUUUGCACUGACAAAUGGACGGUUAAGCCUCCAACAAUAUUAUGGUCUACAAUAUGGUGGAUGGCUUAAACUUUUUUAUCUUGGAGGGACUGAAUUCCGAUUAUUUGAGGUCCAAGAUAGAGAUUUUAUGAAUGUCAGAUAUAGAACCCCUCCAUUAAGAUAUGAAUUUGGAUGGGGAGAUGAUGAAGAGGUACCAUCUGGCUAUGAUAGUGGUCCUAACGAACACGGAGCUGACAACUUAAAUGGCCAGUUAAUCUAUCAUGAAUCAAACCUUCACAUCUCUGACACCUACCAAAACAAAAAGACAUUGCCUGUUGCAUUGGUUCAUGGAGAAAUUCUUCCUCAUACACCACCACAUUGUGUCCUGAGGGAUGAAUACAUGCAAAAGAAGAUUUUUUUUGUGAUUUAACCUGGUGUAAGAGAAGGCCAGGCGAAUGCGUCUUGAAGGGUGGAUGGCUUCAAUUUGUUUAAGCAAACAACUUACAAUACGAAAGCAAGAUCUGGUGGGUGAUUAAAAAGAGAGAUCCAACUGUGGUUCAUGUAGGUUUUGGAGAGAAAACAUACUCACUUAUAAUUUAAGAAUUUCCUUUACCUUUUAAAAAUUGCAUCGGUAUGCUUAGUGGAAGUAUUGUAGUUCGUUUAUUUCC